rnacentral:rRNA from 1 species
AUUGAACGCUGGCGGCAUGCCUUACACAUGCAAGUCGAACGGCAGCACGGGUGCUUGCACCUGGUGGCGAGUGGCGAACGGGUGAGUAAUACAUCGGAACGUACCUUAUCGUGGGGGAUAACGCAGCGAAAGCUGUGCUAAUACCGCAUACGCCCUGAGGGGGAAAGCGGGGGAUCGAAAGACCUCGCGCGAUUAGAGCGGCCGAUGCCUGAUUCGCUUGUUGGUGGGGUAAAAGCCCACCAAGGCGACGAUCAGUAGCUGGUCUGAGAGGACGAUCAGCCACACUGGGACUGAGACACGGCCCAGACCCCUAGGGGAGGCAGCAGUGGGGAAUUUUGGACAAUGGCGGCAACCCUGAGCCAGCAAUGCCGCGUGAGUGAAGAAGGCCUUCGGGUUGUAAAGCUCUUUUGUCAGGGAAGAAACACCGGCUCUAACACAGUCCGGGAAUGACGGUACCUGAAGAAUAAGCACCGGCUAACUACGUGCCAGCCGCCGCCGUAA